rnacentral:sRNA from 1 species
UCGAUUCUCCCCGCCAUGUGACGCCGUCCUUAGCCCUGCGACCCCCAGCGCGUCCCGGGCCUGCGCCCCCGCCCCGCCGCGCAGCGCACCAUGCUUCUGCCGGGACCAGCACGCCAGCCGCCGACGCCCCAGCCCGCACAGCAUCCCGGCCUCCGCCGGCAGGUAGAGCCGCCCGGGCAGCUCCUGCGCCUCUUCUACUGCACUGUCCUGGUCUGCUCCAAAGAGAUCUCAGCGCUCACCGACUUCUCUGAACCCAUGUGAUGCUUCCCACUUCAAAGUGCACUAGCACCAGACAGCUUGAAGGCAUCCCCUGAGCUGCUGGCAAACAAGGCCUUUUUACCCACAGAUUAACCUCUUAUUUGUUUUAAUAAAUGAUCAAAACUU